CGGAGGGUGCGAGCGUUGUCCGGAUUUAUUGGGUUUAAAGGGUGCGUAGGUGGCUUAAUAAGUCAGUGGUGAAAUACAGCCGCUCAACGGUUGAGGUGCCAUUGAUACUGUUAAGCUUGAAACAAGUGGAGGUUGCCGGAAUGGAUGGUGUAGCGGUGAAAUGCAUAGAUAUCAUCCAGAACACCGAUUGCGAAGGCAGGUGACUACGUUUGAUUUGACACUGAGGCACGAAAGCAUGGGGAGCAAACAGGAUU
rnacentral:rRNA from 1 species